rnacentral:rRNA from 1 species
UAGGCUGGGUGUGUAAGUGUUGUGAGACAUUGAGCUAACCAGUACUAAUUGCCCGAGAGGCUUAACUAU